ACCUGCUCUGCCCUGAGGUCCAGUAGAGCAUGAGCCUCUUAAUCUCAGGGUUGUGGGUUCGAGCCCCACAUUGGGCA